rnacentral:rRNA from 1 species
ACCUAAUAGAUACCCAGGUAGUCCACGCCCUAAACGAUGCGAACUGGAUGUUGGGUACAUUACGGUACUCAGUGUCGAAAGCUAAACGCGUUAAGUUCGCCGCCUGGGGAGUACGGUCGCAAGACUGAAACUCAAAGGAAUUGACGGGGGCCCGCACAAGCGGUGGAGUAUGUGGUUUAAUUCGAUGCAACGCGAAGAACCUUACCUGGCCUUGACAUCUGUCGAAUCCUGCAGAGAUGCGGGAGUGCCGCAAGGAACGACAAGACAGGUGCUGCAUGGCUGUCGUCAGCUCGUGUCGUGAGAUGUUGGGUUAACGUCCCGCAACGAGCGCAACCCGUUGUCCCUAGUUGCCAGCACAUCAUGGUGGG